rnacentral:rRNA from 1 species
UACGUAGGGUGCGAGCGUUGUCCGGAAUUAUUGGGCGUAAAGGGCUCGUAGGCGGUCUGUCGCGUCGGGAGUGAAAACUCAGGGCUUAACCCUGAGCCUGCUUCCGAUACGGGCAGACUAGAGGUAUGCAGGGGAGAACGGAAUUCCUGGUGUAGCGGUGGGAAUGCGCAGAUAUCAGGAGGAACACCGGUGGCGAAGGCGGUCUCUGGGCAUUACCUGACGCUGAGGAGCGAAAGUGUGGGGAGCGAACAGG